rnacentral:rRNA from 1 species
UCCUACGGGGGGCAGCAGUCGAGAGGCUUCCACAAUGGGGGAAACCCUGAUGGAGCGACGCCGCGUGGGUGAUGAAGGUCUUCGGAUCGUAAAACCCUUUCAGUAGGGAAGAAGGACCCGGGUGCUAAUACCACCAGGGUCAAGACGGUACCUACAGAAGAAGCUCCGGCUAACUCCGUGCCAGCAGCCGCGGUAAGACGGGGGGAGCAAGCGUUGUUCGGAUUUACUGGGCGUAAAGGGCGUCUAGGCGGGCUUUCAAGUCGAAUGUGAAACCCCACGGCUCAACCGUGGAUCUGCAUUUGAUACUGUUGGUCUUGAGUACGGAAGAGGAAAGCGGAAUUCCAGGUGUAGCGGUGAAAUGCGUAGAUAUCUGGAAGAACACCGGUGGCGAAGGCGGCUUUCUGGUCCGAUACUGACGCUGAAGCGCGAAAGUGUGGGGAGCAAACAGGAUUAGAUACCCGAGUAGUCCG